GCCGGGCAUGGUGGUGCAUGCCUGUAAUCCCAGCUACUCAGGAGGCUGAGGCAGUAGAAUCGUUUGCACCCGGGAGGCGGAGGUUGCAGUGAGCCGACAUCGCGCCACUGCACUCCAGCCUGGGCGACAAAGCAAGACUCUGUCUCAA
rnacentral:SRP_RNA from 2 species